AUGAGAUCGUCGUCGCCAGCGCAGGGGCACAAAGCUAGCAGUAGCAGAGAAACAGCAACAGCAGAUCGAAUGGCGCGAAGGGCGAGGCGACGACGGCGACGCGACGGGCUGGAGUGGAUCGGAACGGAUACCGCUCCUCCUCCUGUGGCCACCCACCGUCACGUGGACUCCGGAUCCGAACGCGCGAGCGCGACCGCGACUUUUCCACCACCGCCUUGUCCGCUGUCCGUACCCCAGUCCCCGUCGCGGUCCAUGCUCCCGCCGGGCCCUCCGGCAAGCGCGUGCGUGCACGACCGCGCCAAGUCAAGUGCGGAGAUCGACGGGGAAGGAAAUGAACCGAUGCGAUGCUCUAGCAGCGUCCGGCUCGCUGGCCGGGGAGCAGAUGGCGGGAUUGUGUGUCGACCACCGGCGGGCGUGCGGGUUCGCCGCUUUGCUUGGCGCUUAAGUCACGAAGACAGGGACGUGGCGCUGUGCAUGGAGCACGUACUACGUGCGUGCGUGCACCGGCCGGCUGCACGCUGGUGCAUCCAUCGCUGCCUAGCUCAAUACUAG
rnacentral:rRNA from 1 species